GUACGGCGGAACACGUGAAAUUCCGUCGGAAUCCGGGAGGACCAUCUCCCAAGGCUAAAUACUCCCUAGUGACCGAUAGUGAACCAGUACCGUGAGGGAAAGGUGAAAAGCACCCCGGAAGGGGAGUGAAAGAGAUCCUGAAACCGUGUGCCUACAAGUAGUCAGAGCCCGUUAACGGGUGAUGGCGUGCCUUUUGUAGAAUGAACCGGCGAGUUACGAUCCCGUGCAAGGUUAAGCAGAAGAUGCGGAGCCGCAGCGAAAGCGAGUCUGAAUAGGGCGCAUGAGUACGUGGUCGUAGACCCGAAACCAGGUGAUCUACCCAUGUCCAGGGUGAAGUUCAGGUAACACUGAAUGGAGGCCCGAACCCACGCACGUUGAAAAGUGCGGGGAUGAGGUGUGGGUAGGGGUGAAAUGCCAAUCGAACCUGGAGAUAGCUGGUUCUCUCCGAAAUAGCUUUAGGGCUAGCCUCAAGGUAAGAGUCUUGGAGGUAGAGCACUGAUUGGACUAGGGGCCCCUACCGGGUUACCGAAUUCAGUCAAACUCCGAAUGCCAAUGACUUAUCCUUGGGAGUCAGACUGCGAGUGAUAAGAUCCGUAGUCGAAAGGGAAACAGCCCAGACCGCCAGCUAAGGUCCCAAAGUAUACGUUAAGUGGAAAAGGAUGUGGAGUUGCUUAGACAACCAGGAUGUUGGCUUAGAAGCAGCCA
rnacentral:rRNA from 1 species